AAUUUUGAAGGGCCGCAGUAUCUUGACUGUGCAAAGGUAGCAUAAUCAUUUGCCUUUUAAUUAGAGGCUAGUAUGAAUGGUCGGACGAAAUACAAACUGUCUCAUUUUAAUAAUUUUAAAAAUUUAGCUUUCAAGUUAAAAGGCUUGAAUAUUAUUAGAGGACGAGAAGACCCUAUAGAACUUUAUAUAAACUUAGAUAAUUUUAUUUAGAAAAAUAUUUUUUAUUUAUUUAAGAUUUAUAUUUUGUUGGGGUGACAGGAAAAUAAAGUUAACUUUUUUAAUUUUAAAACAUUGAUUUAUGAAUUUUUGAUCCAUUAUUAUUGAUUAUUAGAAUAAGUUACCUUAGGGAUAACAGCGUAAUUUUGUUGGAGAGUUCAAAUCUAUAACAAAGUUUGCGACCUCGAUGUUGAAUUAAAGAAAUUUUAGA
rnacentral:rRNA from 1 species